AAAUUGAGCUGUGGUGAAGCCUCCCUUAUGUGGCCUGCAUGAAUUUGUGCAAGGUUGUCAUGACACCAGCCUGCAACAGUCUGUGUUCCUAUUGGUAUUUAAUAAUGAGUUUGGGACUUGGAUUGAAUUCUGACAAGCAAUCAAGAUCAUGUCUCCAUGACCAACGCAGACACACCCAGAAUUGUGCUCCAACAAUGCCCUGGCCUACUCCCGAGAAAAUCACACUGACACAACGAAACUUAACCAUCAUUUUCCAUUACUUGCCAACUUGACACUCAAACACAGUCCUUAAACCAUGCUUAAUCCUUUAAAAAACACAAAGUCAUUAUUCUGCCUAAUACAACUAUCUUACAUACAAUGAAAAAUGCAAUAAUUCCUUCCUUCAAACCUCAACAGUUUUAACAUUCUUCAAAAGUCCAAGUCCAAGUCUCAUCUGAGAUUCCAUGGAAACACUUAGCUGUUAGCUUCUGAAAAAAAAAAUCUAAACCAUGUUAUAUAUUCCAAAGUACAAUGGCACAGGGUAAACAUUCCCAUUGCAAAAGGGAGAAAUAGGAGGAUAGAAAAGAAUUGUACCAAACCAAGACUGAAACCCAGCAGGGAAAAUAUUGAGUUCUAUUGUUCCAUAUUCAGUAUCCAGGGGCAAUGAUAGAGGGAUGUGAUUUCCAAAGGCCUUGGGCAG
rnacentral:lncRNA from 1 species